rnacentral:tRNA from 1 species
UCAGUGGUGGUUCAUUGGUAGAACUUUCACCCUCCAUGCGGAAGACCUGGGUUCAACUCCCAGCCAAUGCU